AGUCUGGUCCCACUUGAGAGUAGGCACUGUUGUCAGUGUCCAGCACUGGCCAGUCUCAACUGAGACAGCUUCUAUCACAGGAAAUAUAUAUCGAGUGGUGAAACUAGACUCAUAACAUAC
rnacentral:snoRNA from 14 species